rnacentral:rRNA from 1 species
GACGAACGCUGGCGGCGCGCCUAACACAUGCAAGUCGAACGGAGCUGAGAGAAGCUUGCUUUUCUUAGCUUAGUGGCGAACGGGUGAGUAACGCGUGAGUAACCUGCCCUGGAGUGGGGGACAACAGUUGGAAACGACUGCUAAUACCGCAUAAGCCCACGAUCCGGCAUCGGAUUGAGGGAAAAGGAUUUAUUCGCUUCGGGAUGGACUCGCGUCCAAUUAGCUAGUUGGUGAGGUAACGGCCCACCAAGGCGACGAUUGGUAGCCGGACUGAGAGGUUGAACGGCCACAUUGGGACUGAGACACGGCCCAGACUCCUACGGGAGGCAGCAGUGGGGGAUAUUGCACAAUGGGGGAAACCCUGAUGCAGCGACGCCGCGUGGAGGAAGAAGGUUUUCGGAUUGUAAACUCCUGUCGUUAGGGACGAUAAUGACGGUACCUAACAAGAAAGCACCGGCUAACUACGUG